rnacentral:rRNA from 1 species
UACGGAGGGUGCAAGCGUUAUCCGGAUUUACUGGGUUUAAAGGGUGCGUAGGUGGGUAGGUAAGUCAGUGGUGAAAUCUUCAAGCUUAACUUGGAAACUGCCAUUGAUACUAUUUAUCUUGAAUACUUUGGAGGUAAGCGGAAUAUGUCAUGUAGCGGUGAAAUGCUUAGAUAUGACAUAGAACACCAAUUGCGAAGGCAGCUUACUACACAGUUAUUGACACUGAGGCACGAAAGCGUGGGGAGCAAACAGG